CUAGCCUCGGCGGUCAGUCUAUAAUCACGUGUGUUGUGCAAUUGAGAUUGAUGAUCCAGUAGAAUCAGUGAAACUUUGUAAUAUUUUAAUUUACAAGUGUGUGCGUAUCAUUCAUUUGGAUUUCGUUACGAGAUGUAUUGACAAGUUCGUAAACAACGCGUUCGUUGGAAAUAAAUUCUUAAUUAAUAAAAUGUCAACAUCGACGAGCAUCUGCUUAACCCUCCGCAUAUCAGCAUUUGCGAAGCCUUGAUCUCCACUUUGAGCGAUGAUGAUGACGACGAUUUGCUGUUUUUCUCGCAACGACGCUUAAAGAAGAAAAGAUUCGUGGAAACGUCGGACGCUGCCAAACCAGAGACAGCAGAAGCGGACAGAGAGGUAUUCUUCCAACAAGCGCCGCGGCAACGAGAUGAAGAGGAUGGAUGCAUUUAUUGGUAUGAUUACUACAAUGAUGAGGUAUGUAAUUAGCAUAUAUACUAAUGAUUAAUUAUAUAAGGCUUUUUGUUUAGAUUCCUCUCAUCUGCGUAUUUUCUACAAUAGUUUAUAUUUUUCAGCUCGAAGAGGUCUGUGAACCAUCUGAAGACUACGCUAAUGCUAAGCGCAUGGCUCUAAGAAAGAUAGGUUAUUAAUACCGACUCUAAUGUCUUCUGGAAUUUUUACGUAAUAAACUGAAUA